rnacentral:sRNA from 1 species
UAUUAAAAGUAUCACGCCGAAGACAGCAGGUGCCCACGGGCAUAAGCAUUUCACGCCUGCCGAGGAAAUACAUUCUAUUUCAGGAAUUGUACCUCUCUGUUUUGCGGCAGAGAGGUUUUUUAUUU